GUAGGUUUUUUUCAUAAUUGUAAAAGUAGAUAAGGGUCAAAAGGGGUCCUCCAUUUUCUCCUGAUAUCCAGGUAGCAACUCUUGAGAUUUAUGACAGAUGAAAGAGAUUUCAACUCUUCUAGCUAGAAAAUCAAAGAUUAAAAGGAAAUUAAUGUGUAGAAGGAAUCCAUGAAUUAGGUAUGAAUGUUUCGUUUUAACAAAUGAAAAAUCAAAGCCAACAUUUUCAGGUUAACUCAAAAGAUAGUCAAAAGAUGAGAAUUAGACAAAUAUAGGUUCCUAAAGAGGGAGAUUCUUCAUCUCAAAGCAUAGGCACCUUCCAU
rnacentral:lncRNA from 1 species